UCCCUCGUGGUCCACUGCUUAGGAUUCUCCGCUUUCACUGGAGCAGCCAGGGUUCAAUUCUCUGCAAGUGAG